rnacentral:rRNA from 1 species
GAACGAGAAAGUGGAGCAAUCCAUGAGUACAGUGGCGUACGGGUGAGUAACACGUGACUAACCUACCCUCGAGUGGGGAAUAACCUCGGGAAACCGGGGCUAAUACCGCAUAACAUCUACGGAUCAAAUGCGUAAGCAGCUUGAGGAGGGGGUCGCGGCUGAUUAGCUAGUUGGCGGGGUAAUGGCCCACCAAGGCAGUGAUCAGUAGCCGGCCUGAGAGGGCGCACGGACACACUGGAACUGAAACACGGUCCAGACUCCUACGGGAGGCAGCAGUGGGGAAUUUUGCGCAAUGGGGGAAACCCUGACGCAGCAACGCCGCGUGGAGGAUGAAGCCCUUUGGGGCGUAAACUCCUUUCGACUCGGACGAUAAUGACGGUACGAGUGGAAGAAGCACCGGCUAACUCUGUG